UACGUAGGCAGCGAGCGUUGUUCGGAGUUACUGGGCGUAAAGGGUGUGUAGGCGGUUGUUUAAGUUUGGUGUGAAAUCUCCCGGCUCAACUGGGAGGGUGCGCCGAAUACUGAAUGACUUGGAGUGCGGGAGAGGUGAGUGGAAUUCCUGGUGUAGCGGUGAAAUGCGUAGAUAUCAGGAGGAACACCGGUGGUGUAGACGGCUCACUGGACCGACACUGACGCUGAGGCGCGAAAGCUAGGGGAGCAAACGGG
rnacentral:rRNA from 1 species